rnacentral:rRNA from 1 species
CCUACGGGGGGCAGCAGGAGGGAAUCUUCCACAAUGGACGAAAGUCUGAUGGAGCAACGCCGCGGGAGUGAAGAAGGGUUUCGGCUCGGAAAGCUCUGUUGGUAGUGAAGAAAGAUAGAGGUAGUAACUGGCCUUGAGUGGACGGUAAUGACGGAGAAAGGCACGGCUAACUACGUGCCAGCAGCCGCGGUAAUACGUAGGUGGCAAGCGUUGUCCGGAUUGAUUGGGCGUCAAGCGAGUGCAGGCGGUUCCAUAAGUCUGAUGUGAAAGCCUUCGGCUCAACCGGAGAAUUGCAUCCGAAACUGUUGACCUUGAGUGCCGCAGAGGCGAGUGGAACUCCAUGUGUAGCGGUUGACUGCGUCGAUAUCUGG